AAGACCCCGUGAACCUUUACUAUAGCUUGACACUGAACACUGGUCCUUGAUGUGUAGGAUAGGUGGGAGGCUUUGAAGCGUGGACGCCAGUCUGCGUGGAGCCAACCUUGAAAUACCACCCUUUAAUGGCUGGUGUUCUAACGUAGACCCGUAAUCCGGGUUGCGGACAGUGUCUGGUGGGUAGUUUGACUGGGGCGGUCUCCUCCCAAAGAGUAACGGAGGAGCACGAAGGUUGGCUAAUCCUGGUC
rnacentral:rRNA from 1 species